GAUGACCGCUGGCGGCGUGCUUAACACAUGCAAGUCGAACGGGAAAUAUUUCAUUGAGACUUCGGUGGAUUUGAUCUAUUUCUAGUGGCGGACGGGUGAGUAACGCGUGGGUAACCUGCCUUAUACAGGGGGAUAACAGUCAGAAAUGGCUGCUAAUACCGCAUAAGCGCACAGAGCUGCAUGGCUCAGUGUGAAAAACUCCGGUGGUAUAAGAUGGACCCGCGUUGGAUUAGCUAGUUGGUGGGGUAACGGCCCACCAAGGCGACGAUCCAUAGCCGGCCUGAGAGGGUGAACGGCCACAUUGGGACUGAGACACGGCCCACACUCCUACGGGAGGCAGCAGUGGGGAAUAUUGCACAAUGGGGGAAACCCUGAUGCAGCGACGCCGCGUGAAGGAAGAAGUAUCUCGGUAUGUAAACUUCUAUCAGCAGGGAAGAUAGUGACGGUACCUGACUAAGAAGCCCCGGCUAACUACGUGCCAGCAGCCGCGGUAAUACGUAGGGGGCAAGCGUUAUCCGGAUUUACUGGGUGUAAAGGGAGCGUAGACGGUGUGGCAAGUCUGAUGUGAAAGGCAUGGGCUCAACCUGUGGACUGCAUUGGAAACUGUCAUACUUGAGUGCCGGAGGGGUAAGCGGAAUUCCUAGUGUAGCGGUGAAAUGCGUAGAUAUUAGGAGGAACACCAGUGGCGAAGGCGGCUUACUGGACGGUAACUGACGUUGAGGCUCGAAAGCGUGGGGAGCCC
rnacentral:rRNA from 1 species